CCCCAAUCCCUCCUGCGUCUCCCAGCCCGGGGCGGGCCCCCCUCCAGGCAGUCAGAAGGAAGCUGAAUCAACACGGCCACCCGCAGCUGCAGAAGCAGGGUCCCGCCGGCCGCUCUAUCCCUGGCCAGCAGCCCCUGUCCCAUCCCCUGGGCGCUCAGAACUGACUCAUAGCUGAACUUUCCUGGGGUUCACCCUCUGCCCUCGCUGGGAGGACAGAGAGCUGUAGGUGGGCCGGGAGCCAGAGCAGCUGCCACUAAGCUUUUGCCCCUGCCCGGGUCUUGGUUUUCCCAUCGGAACAGACGGGCUGCUCUCUGAGCUCAGGGCCGGGUAAACAGCACACCCCAGAAGCAGGACAAUCUGAUCGGAAUUCCAAGCUCGGAACUCCUCUCUCAGCUCUGGAGUCCAAGUGUGCAAGGAUCACAAGUGCCCACAGCCCGCUGCGGAUUCUUUACCUGCUGAACCACAAGGGAAGCCCUCAAAAAUACUAUCCACUCUCCCAUCUUCUCAGAGCUGAGCCAGUGGGGAGUGGUAGGCAGUGUCAACACUCUCCAAGACUGCCACAAAGCCCUUUGACCUCCCCUGCCUAGUGAGAGCUGCUGCGGGAAGCAGGUGAUUCGGCGAGGGACCCUGAGG
ensembl:lncRNA